CGCUGUGAAGAAGUUAUUCUCUUGAUUCUUUUCCUAAGCAAGAUUUUUCUGUCACCUCCCUAGCGAAAAGAUUGUGAUCUGAACAAAGACACUAGCUACCUCCAAGGGGACAGGUUCUUUUAGGGGUUCUCAGGCCCUGAGAAUACACAGACAUAUACGUCUACAAAUUAGCCCACAGUAGCGUAGCUCAUCUUCCAACGUCUCGGUUUCCUUGAGUGUCUAUGAUCCUAGAGUAACGUUUGCUUCAUGGCGUUCUGAAAAUAAUCGAAGGAAAGCGAUGCUAUAGCCUGAACUGCCAGUAAAGAAAAAGUGAGGGGCGGAUAGAAGCAGGCAAAUAGCUCUGCUCUUGGGGAUCAGCCCAAACUUCCACAGCGCCCUCACCCUCCCGACAGACGGGACGAAAAUGUCGGCAUUCUUUCUCAGAUCACAGUUCCAGUCCUUUAGAGCAAGCUGAGUAGUACAGAGGAGAAGGUGCAAUAAGGAAUGUCCUCCUGUGCUAAGAAUGCAUUCAGAACGGGGAUGCUCUGUCCGGAUGCCUUCAUGGAAGAGGUCACGAUUUUCCUCAUAGCCUGAUAAAGGGACACCGUGGAAACUAAACAACUUCUACCAACACCUAGACAAAUGACAGCCUGGGGACUCAGAUGCUCACAAUCUAACCAAGAUCCCUUCCUCCUAAAGGCCAAACAUUCUGCUCUACACAAAGCACUUGACUUCCGAUGAAUACAGUGUGUUUUCCUGAGAAGUUGGCAGAUGGCGAUGUAUAGAAAGUGCAGUGUCUGGCACACGCGGAGCUGCUGAUCCGUGCUACCCAUUGGCAUUGGAACAGCUGCAUUUUUGAGCAGAGACAUGAAAAGCAUGGGGGGAGAUCGUCACGCCGCCACCACAGAUGUCCCUGCCUUGGCCGAGGACAGAAGACAGCAGCCAAUAUUCACAGUGGACUGCAGAUGUUUCCCUUCACCAUGGAUCAGAGGGGCCAUUAUGGACAGCGUGGGCUCUGCAGGAGUUUUGUGUUCCAGACGGAAUAUUACAGAAUAUGCAUGGCUCCAUCCAACAUUUAUUGAAUACCUACUCUGUGCUGAGCUGCUUUCUAAAUACAAAGAUGAAUAGGUCACAUUCCUUGUCCCCUCAGACACUGAAUUACACACAAGGAGACAACACACAUAAUUAGCCGUAGCGUACUGAGGAGUUCUGUGUGUGGCAGAAACAGUGGUUGAUCUCAGGAGAGAUUUCUGUCAGAGGGCCUUGGAGGAAGAUGCAGACCGGGAGGGACAUCCAGAGUCUUCUAGGGACGGUAAAUAAUGAAAGGACUUCAAUGAAAUGAAGAGCAAAGGUCAUUUGAGGUGGUAGAGUGAGGUGCGCAGACCAGCAGGCUUCCUCGCCCCCCAACCCCCACCUCACCCAGUCACUGCCCACCCGUGACACCUUCUUUCAGUGUCUGAGUCAUACCCAGUAGAUUGCUAGGUGAGGACACCAGAAAGGCUUCGCCCACACAAAUAUGACAUGCUCCCUCAGAAUACAUGUUCCUCCAAUGUUUUUACCUGUCAAUGUCUUUCUUCUCUUCUGAGACUGUGGGCUGGAUUCUAAGAAGUGAAUCCGAAGGUCAUGAGGUGAUAAGAAGAAUA
rnacentral:sRNA from 1 species